CUCAUCCAAAGUCAUACCGCUAAAUUAAAUCCCAAAAAAAAAAAAAUCCCAGGGAAAUGAAUUGAUGCAAAAACGCCACACGCAUUUCCCGUCCAAACAAACAGAAGGAAGCAAGGUUCACGUGGGUACGAGGGGAUUCAUGUAGAGAUGACAAUGGUGGGAAAAGCAGGAAAUAAAGGCUUCUUUUUUGCCUGUGGCCGAUCCAUAUCUGCGUCCUUUCGCAUUAUGGAGGCUGAAAAGACCAUAUGGUUGGUGUGGAAAGGCUUGCAAUCUCAGCAGCAGGCACAGGACAAGGUUUGAAAAUACAUCUGAAUUGCCAUUAUUAUACAGAAAGGUGCGCCAAAUGCGGUAAUUACAUAUGAAACUUCCAAAAAUAACACGUAUGUACCCUCUUCCAAAUUACUGUCCCAUCACAUAUAUUUUGCAAUCUUGGGAAAUUAUUGUUUUAAUCACUGCUGAUCUUGAUGGUUCAGUCAAUUUUGGCAUUCUUUGUUUGUGGGUGGGGUUUGUCCCUUUUUUUCCUCUAUGAAGUGUUUCAAGUUUGUUUUCUGAUUGUCCACAAGUAAGCAAGAUGCAGUGGAUGGGAAUGCGGUAUUGUUCAUUGGUGGAUCUACCUUGUAUCAUAUAUAAAUAUUGUAAAUGUGCAUUUGUACCCUAAAUCAUUUAAAACACCUCAACUUUGAACGUUUUUGCAUUAUCUAUGUUCUACAGUAUCAAGGUUUAGUAGAAGUCGUUUUCGUUCAUGUAUUUUAUCAAAAUACUCAAAGCUCUGAUCUC